UUUGCGGUGAUGAGGUGCUAACAUGUAAGGAGAUCUAUUUAAAGCUUGGAUCAGCUUGGAUCUUCGAUGAAAUUUGCUUGUUACGCUUGGCUUCUGAGCUUC
rnacentral:snoRNA from 1 species